rnacentral:lncRNA from 1 species
CCCAGAUGUCCUCACUUUAGGGCCAACAGUCAGUUUCAGUUUCAAUUUGUUUAUUUGUCCUUCUUCAGUCACAAAUGUGGAGCUGAGAAUGCUGGAAGAGAGAAGAGAAAGCAAAGAAAAAUGGGACGAAGAGGCCUUUUGCUUUCUUCCUGGGAUGUAAGCGGCAGGGAGAAAGCUAAGAGGCUUGGUCUUCUCUCUUUAGAAACAGGUAGAGAUCGUUGUCCAAAGAGGGAGCUAAACCAGGUAAAUCAGCCAAAGGCAACUAAGAAAGUGAGCCAGGCCAGACAGGAAAAAGAGAAAAAAAAGAAUGAAGGCGAGAAGAUGAAACUGGUUAAAUGGGAGAAAGAGGAGGACUCCAGGGCAGCAUCAGCCCCCAGAGACCAGAAGGGGCGCUGGAGUGUCCACUGCCACAGCCCCACCUAGUGGUUGCCCCACAUCUUCCAUACCUCCAGCGGCGGGGCGCUCCCCACAGCACCGGGCAGCUCUGCCUUUCUUUGGGCAACUUCAGCAGAAAGUUCUUAGCAUGAGCUGCAGUCAGCUUCCCUGUUCUAGCCCCUCCUCAUCAGUUCAGAUUCUGCUGCCCACGACAGUGAUUUCACUGUUUAGAAUGGCAUCAUGCUGAAGUGCUGUGUAAUGUUCCUAAAUGCAAGAAGGCUGUGAUGUGCCUUAUGGAGAAAACAUGCACGUUAGGUAAGCUUCGUUCAGGCAGCAUUAUAAUGCUGUUGGCUAUGAGUUCGAUGUUAAUGAAUCAGCAAUGUAUAUUAAAUAAGGUGUCCUUAAACAGAAACACACAUAAAACAAGGUCAUGUGUUGAUCGUUUGAAGAAAAUGUUGUGACCAGAGGCUCGUAGGAACCCAACUCUGUAUUUCCCCUAGGAGCGAUGGUCCAGUAUUGGCUAAUUCAGUGUUCACAGAGACUUUAUAGGCCACAACUACCACAAAUCAUCAAAAUCAUUCAUACCUGGGUUUGAAUCUUGAGCACUAACCCAUUAACAGCAGUGGUAUUCUGAUGAGUGACAGUAACUCUCUGAGCCUUAGGUUCCUAAUCUGUAAUUGGUAAUAAGACCUUAUCCUCACAGCUGCUCAAAAGAAUAAGGGAGACGAUUAAUGUAAUCAAAUGCCUAGUACAGUGCCUGACCCAUAGAGGGUGGACCACAGACUUUCACUCCUUUUACCUUUCUCUUGUUCAGAUACAUAUUUGCAAU